rnacentral:tRNA from 1 species
CUGCCCUUAGCUCAGCUGGACAGAGCAACGGCCUUCUAAGCCGUAGGUCGCAAGUUCGAAUCUUGCAGGGCAGGCCA